CUAAAUUCAUAAAUCCAUCCAUAUUUUAAUUUGCUUUUUUAAUAUUUAUUUUUAUAUCCAAAGUUAAAAAUUGUAAUAGAAAAAGCUAUAUGGAACUGCUCUGGGUGUGUGCUCAUGGGGUGUGUGUGUGUGUGUGUGUGUGUGUGUGUGUGUGUGCACUUGGAUGGGUCAAAUGCAGAGCACAAAUUCUGAGUAUGGGUCACCAUACUUGGCCACAAGUUACUUCACUUUCACUUUCAUUUACUGUACACUGUCAGUAAGAAAACAAAACAGUAAGCUUCACAAGACAUUAAAUACUGAUGGACUCAUGUGGAUUACUUGUGAAUUAUUUUGAUGUUUUUAUCAGCUGUUUGAACUCCUAUACUGAAGGCACCCAUUCACUGCAAAGGAUGAGCAUAAUUUCUCCAAAUCUGUUCUGAUGAAGAAAUUAACUCAUCUACAUCUUAUAUGGCCUGAAGUUGCAUGCUGGACUAAAGGAAGCAACACAAUCAAGAAUCUCCACAAGUGCAGGUCAUUGAGGGCACUGAGCGUAUCCUCCAGACGUGGCAUGACUUUCAAAGGACUGGCAUGCCUGCCACCUGAAGGUCCCAGGUUCACUUUUCCUGGAACAAAGCAAAUGAAAAGGAGAAGAUCAGAGACUGUCGAUCACGGCGUGAAGUUCUUGUUUAUGUCUCAACAAAACUGACAGCAGAGCAUCACUCCAAACUUGAACCUAGGUCAGCCCAACUAUAAAUAGCCGUCUGUGUGAUAACACAGCCUGAAUGUCUGGCCAGAUUUGAUAUUAACUGGUUUAAUGUCUGAUCCCUAUAGAGACAGGUAAAUCUCUGUGGGUCAAUGGCAAAAUAUUUUUCAUCCCAAAUGACUAAACAAAAUACAAGCGUUUUAUCUUAUGACAGAAAUCAUUCUAACAUGCUAACAUUGGGUGUUUUUUAAUUAUCAAUGUGUAUUUUAAAAAAUGCAUGACAUUAUAAAAUUAAACUUUAUAUGUAACACACUGAAUACACAUGAUGCAAGAUUCAACAGCCCCUCAAAAAAAAAAAACUGUUGUAGGUACUUCAUUAACUGUUCAGUGUGUGAAACUCAUCAUGUUCUCUCCUGCUCUUCUGCUGCUCUGGGUUUCUGUUUUUCUCAUCAUGAGAACUGGCCUGCUCUUGUGUAAAGAGGAAACAAUUGAUUCAAUGAGGGAGUAAACGUGGCGAGUUCAACCACAGGCCUUGAUAAUGUCACGAGGAUCUUUAAUACAUGUAAUAAAUUCUAUGUUUAACCUCA
ensembl:lncRNA